GCAUGCCUAACACAUGCAAGUCGAACGGUAACGACGGGAGCUUGCUCCCGGGCGACGAGUGGCGGACGGGUGAGUAAUACUUAGGAAUCUGCCCAGUAGUGGGGGACAACUCGAGGAAACUCGAGCUAAUACCGCAUACGCCCUACGGGGGAAAGCGGGGGAUCUUCGGACCUCGCGCUAUUGGAUGAGCCUAAGUCAGAUUAGCUUGUUGGUAGGGUAACGGCCUACCAAGGCGACGAUCUGUAGCUGGUCUGAGAGGACGAUCAGCCACACUGGGACUGAGACACGACCCAGACUCCUACGGGAGGCAGCAGUGGGGAAUAUUGGACAAUGGGCGCAAGCCUGAUCCAGCAAUGCCGCGUGUGUGAAGAAGGCCUGCGGGUUGUAAAGCACUUUCAGUAGAGAAGAAAAGCUUACGGUUAAUACCCGUGAGUCUUGACGUAACCUACAGAAGAAGCACCGGCUAACUCCGUGCCAGCAGCCGCGGUAAUACGGAGGGUGCGAACGUUAAUCGGAAUUACUGGGCGUAAAGCGCGCGUAGGCGGUUUGGUCAGUCGGAUGUGAAAGCCCUGGGCUUAACCUGGGAAUGGCAUUCGAUACUGCCUGACUAGAGUAUGGUAGAGGGAAGUGGAAUUUCCGGUGUAGCGGUGAAAUGCGUAGAUAUCGGAAGGAACACCAGUGGCGAAGGCGACUUCCUGGGCC
rnacentral:rRNA from 1 species